rnacentral:misc_RNA from 1 species
CUCCAUUUGGAUCCCUCGUUCCCUCAUCUCUUCCCUUUAUUAGCUCGCUCCCUCUAUCCAUCUGCUGUUGUUACCAAAGACGACUAGGUCGGUUAUUUUCUCCGCAAUCGCAACACUUUCUCCAGCAGUGUUUCCUCUCGAUUCUCAUUCUUUUCUGGUUCAUUGCAUUUAAUUUCUACUAGAAGAUGGCAUCGCGUUUCUGGGGACAGGGUGGCAGUGACUCCGAGGAGGAAGAGAGUGAAAUUGAAGAAGAUUUUGAUAAUGAGGCAGCAGGCGACUCUACCACUCAAGCCCCACAAAAUAGGUAUCUCAGGGGAACCGCUAGUGAUAGUGAUGACUCUGAUGACCAAAAGCGUGUUGUCAGGUCAGCCAAAGACAAACGUUUUGAGGAGAUGUCGGCCACUUUUGAUUAAACAAUGAAGAUCAAUGAUUGGGUCAGCUUGCAAGAGAGCUUUGACAAAAUCAAUAAACAGCUUGAGAGAGUCAUGCGGGUAACAGAGUCUGACAGGGUCCCUACCCUUUACAUCAAAGCUCUUGUCAUGUUGGAGGAUUUCUUGAAUCAGGCUUUGGCAAAUAAGGAAGCAAAGAAGAAGAUGAGCAGUAGUAAUGCUAAGGCCUUGAACUCAAUGAAGCAGAAACUGAAGAAGAACAAUAAGCAAUAUGAGGAUUUGAUUAAUAAAUUUAGGGAGAAUCCAGAGAGCGAGGAGGAACAGGAGGGAGAUGAGGAGACAGAAGAGGAGGAAGAUUCAGAUUCAGAGUUUGUGGAGGACCCUUCAAAGAUCGCAAUGUCUGAUGAGGAUGAAGAGGACGAAGAUCAUCAGGAUAAUCAAACUGAGAUUGAAGGUGAUUGGCAGAAGA